AUAUAUAUCGAUGGUGCAUUAUUCUAGUCAUACAAGUUUUAUGAGGGUGGGGCUAAAAAUCCACUAAAGGGCACAUCGUUGAAGUUUCUUGUUUGUGCGCAAAAUGCCAGUUUUGUGUGCUUGCAGGGAGUAAAGAAUCUAGGGUAAUAUGUAAUGGCAUACAUGUGAUUCCCUAUUUUCGCGGAGGCUUAAUUAUUUAAAGUUUUAGAAAGAAACAAUUUUCUAAAAUAAAAGAUUAAGUUAAACCUAUGUUGAGUGCCAAGACACAAAAUACAUAGAGUAGCCUGUCUCGAGUGAAUGUAUUGGGAUUAAUUUUAACGAAAUGAGAUUAUUUUGGCCAAAUUAAUUUCAUUUUAGAUUAUGAAAUUUCAUUUGCAAAAAAGACUAGUAAAACUACAAAUGUAUGUAAAGGAAAACUUCUAGAAUGUUUGCUUCGGAAGAGGCAUGAAAGUCUGGGGAUUAAGGUACAGAUUUAAGUGGCAAUCUGGUAUCUACUCUUGUAGAUAUUUUCCUUAAACGGAAACGGCUAAGGUAGUAAUACCAAGCGGAAAAUAGAGAAAUUCGACCAGACCUAAACUGUAAAAUUUACUUAGGCUUUUACCAUCUAGUGU
rnacentral:sRNA from 1 species